AGAAAAAGCAGCUGCAGCCGUCCCAGCAGCGGUGUGCCACCAGCAAGUCUGUUGCGGCACGGGUGACACGGGUGGUCGACGGUUGCAGCGGCACUAAAGCAGUACCGUCGAGCCACGCCAACUAGUGUAGAUUUUCGGGCCAGUUGGUCUAUGUGCAUGGUGACGAAAUUUAGAGUGCGUUUACGUUGACAGAGAAGAGGGCUACGCUCUUUAUGCUCCCGUUCGUUUUACCGUUUUUCUCCAUGCGUUUCCCCAUGUCUCUGCAUCUGCAUGUAUGUAGAGCCGGUGCUUCUCUUACGGAGAGCAGAGUGCAGAGCUUUUUUUAGUUUUCCACAGCGAAUACUCCUUAAAUGUCGCCUCAUGAACCUAGGUCACCUAGCCCAACCAUAUACACUCCCUGGUGUGGCUUGGAACAAUCGUCGCUCGAUGGCUAGAACCUGCUUCCGUGCUGACGCUUUUUGGCCCUGCUGACUGCGUGACUUGCUCGACUGGCUGGUAGUGACAAACACUCACGCGACUGGCUCACACAAUCACUGGUACAGCACAGAUCACCGCGGCCAAAGUAGAUGCCAGGGCCUGGAAGCUUGUGUAUUGUCCUGUUAAUAAUAGGCUUGUGCUUGACUAGCAAGAGCUCACGUGUUGUGCUGUACAUCUCUCUUGAUCAUUCUCUGUCUGUGCUUUUGUUGCUGUUUUUGUCAGUCUUUCACUCUUGUCUAUCUGCGCGUCCAUUCAGCUGUUGGUAUGUCUUUUUCUGUUCUUCAGUCCACUUGUCUAUAUGUAUGUCUGCCCGUUCAUCUGUGCACAUGUCUCUCCGUUCACAUGUCGUUCCACCAUCUUUGUAUAAGUGACGCUUCAUCCAUACGUCUGUCUGCAUUUCUGUUCGUAUGUCUGCUUUCUGCCUCUCUCUGCAUCUAGUAAUUGUUCUGUUUAUAUUGUCCAUCUAAUGUCGCAGUCUUUCUGUCGGUCCAUCUGUACAGCUUUGUCUCUUGUACAUAUAUCUCUCUGUGGUUCUUGACGUCUGUAAGUUACUGACUCUAUACAUCACGACGUCUCUCUGUGUUCAUCUUUCUGUCUGUGUCUUUUAAAUUCAGUCGACUUGUUGGUCCCUCAAGACAAUUCUGUCGGUGUGUCCACAAUGCUCUUUUUUCCUGUCAAUUUGUCACUGAAUGCCGGACAAACAAAAGCACACUGAAGAGGCCAUAAUUACCUCUCUCUGCCUCGGACUCACAUUCGGUCGUGCAUUUUGCAAAUUAGAUGGCCAAUCAUUGUCUGAUUAUUGCCCAACAAGACGACUCAACAACACAGCUCCUCUGAUCAUCAUCAAGCGUAUCAAGAUGCCCAAGAACCGAAGCACAGAAAGGAAAUUGCAUUUGAACACCGAGUGCACAGACGAUAACACAUUUGUAAGUCUUCGAGUCCCCGAAUGACUUGACCACAGUCGGGUUAUCGGCAUAACGGAGCUGGCUACAAUACGAACCACCAGAGAAGAAAUCUGGCACUCUUCGUGACUACACAGUGAAGAUAUGACACAGGAAAGGGCCUUGUGACGCUGAUUCACCGGUGGUGUCGAGAAUCGAACGUUUAACAGUUGGUUGGACUUCGAAACUACGGAAGGAGCGCCUUAUUGCGUUCAGGUGAAGGCAAACUCGUUGUGCGGAUAUCAAGUCAUUAGUGGUCGUCAAGCCACGGCAGAGGUCAUGACGCCCUUCCUUCAAAAGAAAGUGGUGAAAGAAACUUCAAAGUAAAUGCUAAUUAUGCCCAGCUUAGCGUACUUUUCUCAUAGAUCGCUCUAAGUAAUUCAUUAACCAUCAAAAUGAAUACUAAAGGUUCAAUGAAAUAAAAACAAUAAAAGAGUAUACUCUCCCAAUC